rnacentral:rRNA from 1 species
GCAGCAGGCGCGAAACCUUUACACUGCACGACAGUGCGAUAAGGGAAUCCCAAGUGCGUAGGCAUAGAGCCUACGCUUUUGUCCACCGUAGGGAGGUGGACGAAUAAGGGCUGGGCAAGACCGGUGCCAGCCGCCGCGGUAAUACCGGCAGCCCAAGUGAUGGCCGAUCUUAUUGGGCCUAAAGCGUCCGUAGCUGGCCGCGCAAGUCCAUCGGAAAAUCCACCCGCUCAACGGGUGGGCGUCCGGUGGAAACUGCGUGGCUUGGGACCGGAAGGCGCGACGGGUACGUCCGGGGUAGGAGUGAAAUCCUGUAAUCCUGGACGGACCGCCGAUGGCGAAAGCACGUCGCGAGAACGGAUCCGACAGUGAGGGACGAAAGCUAGGGUCUCGAACCGGAUUAGAUACCCGGGUAGUCCUAGCCGUAAACAAUGCCUGCUAGGUGUGGCUCCCACUACGAGUGGGUGCUGYGCCGUAGGGAAGCCGCUAAGCAGGCCGCCUGGGAAGUACGUCCGCAAGGAUGAAACUUAAAGGAAUUGGCGGGGGAGCACUACAACCGGAGGAGCCUGCGGUUUAAUUGGAGUCAYCGCCGG